CCCAGGAAAAAGGAACGUUCAUCCAGGCACGUGCAAAGUCCUGCAAACUCUAAAGAUUCAUUUGUAAAAUAGUCAUGUUAUAAAUCUCGGCAGACAAUCCAGUAUUUGUCCAGCUAGAAUGACCUCUGCACCCAGGAGAAGAGGAGGAGGGAGGGGGGUGGGGAGGAAGGGCCUAACAGGCACUUGGUUCAGCUGAUUGCAAUUUCUCAUAAAUAUUCAGCCUGUGUGAUGCUGUUGGGAUGUGUUUGAAGCAUUAAGGCAUGGAUAUGUCAUAUCUCAUUUUCCAGAGCAGCUUUGGAUGGCGUGUUUGAAUUAAUUCCUAAGUCAAAGGGGACACCUUGACCCUGAUUUUCCUUGGACAGAAGUUAGCUCCCACCUCUUCCUGACCCUCACUCUUCCUUGCUCACUGGAUUCCUCCAUGAUCCCCAACCCACUUUUUAGAACACAAAGCCAGUUUUAGUUCCAUCUUCCCAGUGCUCUCUGUGGCCCUCCCACUCAUAUAAGAUCAUCACAUUUUAUCUUCUUCUUUUCCUAAGGAGGACAAAGACUCUCUCCAGUGAAGCCUUUCUCUUCUCCUCAGGCCUCUCCUUCCUGACUCAGCCUUGGUUUACCACUGAGAUUUGCCAUAUACCAUACAGAAGAACAAAAACGUUACCAAUUAUUGGCAGGUUUUUUUUGUUUUUUUGUUUUUUUUUUAACCAAACGUCAAGUUGGUGAUGAAGUUAUCUGGAAAUGUCAACCAAACCCAGAAGACUACACAAGACUACAGGAGAAGGCACUCUGGGGUGAGAUGAUACUAACACACAAUACCCAUUGUAUAUACAGUUCUAAGUGUUUAACAUAUAUUAACCCUCUUACUUCUCAAACAAUCUAAUAAAGUAGGUACUACCAUUAUCAUUCCUGUUUCACAUAGCAGGACACUAAGGGCCAGGGAGGUUAAAUGGUGGAGUUGGAGAUUCUGAUCAAGGAAUUUUGGCUCCAAAGGGAAGAAAAGGGUGCUAGCUCCUGCUCUGGCCAGAUUCCCUCUGAGCGACUUGUGGAGUCUUACUGGGGGAUUCAACUCUUCUUCACCUCAAUCAGCAGUAAAGCCUACACAGACACUGGGAGCAUGACGGCAAGAGAAGGCCACCCACCUCUCUACACCCCUAGAUGACACACUACAGGAUCCCAGUGGAGUAUACAGAAAAUUCCAAGGAGACCAGGGGCCAGGGGUUCUCGGUGGAACCAUGGCAGGGAAAGUAUCAGAGACAGAAAUAUGAGACUCUG
rnacentral:lncRNA from 1 species